AGCCGUGCUGACUCCGCCCCGGGCCGGAAAGUGACUCCAAAGCCACAACGCGUUGUUGACGAGAGAAGUCUAGGUUGGGUGAAGGAUCCGAGAGGGCCCUCCCAGAUUCGAGCUCCCAGCCCCAGGCUCCUGGGGCGCGGGAGAAGCGCUGGCCCCUCCACCCGCCGCGGGCACCUAGAAGAGCGAGCGGACCUCACGGCUUUGGCGGACUCCAGGUAGAAGCCAUGUCUAUUUGGGGGUUUGCCUCCCCGACUCCCGACCGCUUUGCGGUGUCUGCCGAGGCAGAGGGCAAGGUUCGGGAGCAGCAGGCUCGCUUGGAGCGUAUCUUCAGCGUGGGAAUGAGCGUCCUCUCCAAAGACUGCCCAGAGAACCCUCAUAUCUGGUUGCAGCUUGAGGGCCCCAAGGAGAACGUCUGCAGAGCCAAGGAAUACCUGAAGGGGCUCUGCAGCCCAGAACUACAGAGUGAAAUCCACUACCCACCCAGACUGCACUGCAUCUUUCUGGGAGCCCAAGGCUUCUUCCUUGACUGCUUGGCCUGGAGCACAUCUGCCCACCUGGUGCCUCUGGUUCCUGGCUCUCUGAUGAUCAGUGGCCUAACCGAGGCGUUCGUGAUGGCCCAGAGCCGGGUGGAGGAGUUAGUGCAGCGGCUGAGCUGGGACCUCCAGCUUCAGUCUUAUCCCGGAGGCCCUGACAAUGGCGGAGUGCUGAGAGACUUCUCUGCGCUGCUGCAGACUAGGGAGGACGCCUACACAGAGGCCCUGCUGCAGCUGCCCCUGGCCGUGCAGGAGGAGCUCCUAAGCCUGGUGCAGGAGGCAUCCAGAGGGCAGGGUCCACAGACACGGCCCUCUCGUGAGGUGGGGAGCCCAGGCCUGUUGGGUGCUCAGUUCCAGGGAGUCAGGGCUCCCUUGAAUGAAGGCAGGGAAUCCCUGGGCACCGGAGUGGCAGGGUCGGGAAAGUCUCGUGCAGUAAGAGGACAAAGUCAUACUGUGGAGCAGGAGGGAAGGAAACACGAUGGUGUCAGGGACAUGGGUUCAGGCCGGAAGGAGGUGUCUGGGGAAGAGGUCUGGGAGACAGGAAUGACUUACAGGUCACAGCUAGCAGCAGGUGGUGGAGCUGAGGAGGUGGCACCCUGGAAAGGAAAGGCCUCGGCGAAACAGGAGGUUCCUCAGCAAAGAGGAGGGUUCAGUGCGCAGGGUGAUCCUUCCGGUGCCCACGUGCCUUGUCAGAGGGCAGCUCCAACCCGGGGAGCCUCUCUCCUCCAGCGGCUCCACAAUGGGAGCGCCUCACCUCCGAGAGUGCCUAGCCCUCCACCCGCGCCGGAACCCCCGUGGCCCUGUGGAGACCGAGAUCGAGAUCGAGAUCGGGGAGACAGGGGAGACAAGCAGCAAGCUGGGGCUCGAGGCCGAGGGUCUCCCUGGAAGCGAGGCACUCGUGGGGGCAACUUGGUGACGGGCACACAGCGUUUCCAGGAAGCCUUACAGGAUCCUUUCACCCUGUGCCUUGCCAAUGUGCCUGGCCAGCCAGAUCUCCGUCAUAUUGUCAUUGAUGGCAGCAACGUGGCCAUGGUGCACGGCCUCCAGCACUACUUUUCCAGUCGGGGCAUUGCUCUUGCUGUGCAGUACUUCUGGGAUCGUGGCCACCGUGACAUAACCGUCUUUGUGCCUCAAUGGCGCUUCAGUAAGGAUUCCAAGGUCAGAGAGAGCCACUUCCUGCAGAAGCUGUAUUCCCUGAGUCUGCUUUCCCUGACACCCUCCCGAGUCAUGGACGGCAAGAGGAUUUCUUCUUAUGAUGACAGGUUCAUGGUGAAGCUGGCUGAAGAGACUGAUGGGAUCAUUGUCUCCAAUGACCAGUUCCGGGAUCUGGCUGAGGAGUCUGACAAGUGGAUGGCGAUCAUCAGAGAGCGGUGAGAGAAUAGGGCACCGGCUCAGACCUUUCUCUAAACCAGCUCUGCUCUGGCCACUGGCCUGCUGCCCUUCACCUUUGUGGGGAAUCUCUUCAUGGUCCCAGAUGACCCACUGGGGCGAAACGGCCCCACCCUGGAUGAGUUCCUGAAGAAGCCAGUCAGGAAACAGGGCUCUUCUAAGUCUCAGCAGCCCUCCAAAGGUUCCACAGAACACGGUAAUCAGCAGCAGGGGAAGGAAGUGGAGAGGGGCAAUGGUGGCAUUCGGAAGACCCGGGAGACAGAGCGGCUCCGGCGCCAGCUGCUCGAAGUGUUUUGGGGUCAGGACCACAAGGUGGACUUCAUCCUGCAGCGGGAACCAUACUGCCGGGAUAUUAACCAACUUUCUGAGGCCCUGCUGAGUCUCAACUUCUGAGCCUUUCUGCCCUGCAUAGCUGCUACCUUAUUAGAGUCAGCCUCCCCAGCCCCUCCCCUUCUCUUACGGUCGGUCCCUCUGCCACUCAGACCAUGACCUGGACUCACUCUAAGAUGGUGCUUUGGCCAGAGAAAGCACCAGAGAAGAGAAUUUGAGUGUGGGAAUACUCUUGCCUGGGGUAGUUUGAGGACAGGUCCUUAAAGUGACUCAGCCUGAGGGAGGACCACUCUUAGGAGGUUUUGGUUAGACUCAACUCCUCAACUUUGUCUUUACAGAGGGUUUCUGUAGGGUGUAGAGGCUGUUUCUGGAGACCAAGGCUAUGGCUUCACUACCACUUCCUUGGUUGGAGGCUAGGGUAGGCGGGAGGUGACAAAAAGGCUAAGCUGAGAAAGCAAGCAUCCUCUGGCUGCUCCUCUGAGUGGUAGGAUAGCUAAGCUGUACCCUGGUGUGUCCAGAGGAGUGCUGGCUCCCGAAGGGUCACAGUGCUAUGUGGGCUGUUGCAGUGGGCCAGCUGAGAACCAGAAGGCAGAGGCAGGCAGGCUUCUAGUCUCAGUUGUGCUUGCCUGUGACCUGGACAGAGUUGCUUGGCCUUUACUUAUGUCUAUACAUCAGGCAUAAAGAUAACCGUUGAGGGAAAUGAGAACAGAGAAGAAGGCUUCUGUGAGGACCUGUACACGAAUCAUGGCUCAGGUGUGUCUGCCUGUGGCUGGCUGCAUAGGCUCUCUAGCCAAAACUUCACGUUCAGAGAUGUCCACUGUCCACUCCCUCGAUUUUAACCCUGGGUUUUCAGUAGAACAUGCCCUGUAAUGGCUGCAUCCCUUUCCAGCAACCUUCAAAACUCAUGUUAACAAGAUAGUCAAGUUAGGGUUGAUGGUUGCAUUACUUAAAUACUCUCAGGGCUCCUAUAAAUGGCAGCUGCUCAGUUGCAUUUCAAGUGUGUGUUUACAGAUUGACAAGGCCCUGGUUAAAUCCUCUUUCUGGUGUUGAGCCUAUUCACCAAACCCAUAACAUCAUGAUUGGCAGUGACAGUGGGAUCUAUCUAGUAUUUUCUUUAUGGAAGACAGGUUUCACUUAACAAGGCACACUGCUGCAUUGUGUGUAUUCGAAGUAGAAGCUGAAGUAUGAUUGAGAUCCCGAUUGGUUACAGACCAACUCCACUGACCUAUCAUGACAAACUGUUUACAUUCUAACUCCCACAAGUCAUUGUUCUGUAUCUGUUUGAACUCUGUCUGUGCUGGGGAAUGUACUAUCUGCAAGGUGGCACGUUCCUUACUUGGAUGUGUUAAUCAGUUUUUUUCUCUAGUGUAGUCUAGCAUGCUUUUCUGUUAUUUUUACCUCCCCAGGAGUAAUUCAGAACUAGUCAACUUCUUAGAGGCCAGAGUCAGAGGUAUAAAAAGGUAAGGCAGGUGGCCCUGGAUUCAUGUAGCGAGUCCCUGAAUUAGACGCUUUUCUGGCUCUGACUUAUUCCAAGUGACACGGAGUUGACUGUGUGGCUCUCUGCGUCCCAGUGUCUUUGUUUCGUUGGACGAUUUUCAUUUCACACCAGAUUGAUUAAGUGUUGGGGACAAGUUAAUCAGGGAAAUGACAAGGGGAAAAGAAAAGAACGGUGUGGACUGGGUGCUGGUAGACCUGCUUUUUAAGCUUAUGAUUGGUGUCUUUCUCUUUUCACUUGCCAUGAUGGUGGAUCUCCAGAAGGCUGGGCUUAUCUUCCCUUUUAUGCCAAGGGCUCUGGAAGGCUGAAUGUUCCUGAGAUGACGGAAAAAGCUUAUAGGGGGACACUGACUUUGUCUUACUGCAGUAUGAUGGGCUGGGACCUGUAUGUGUUUACUAUAUGAAUUCAUGGCUGUUUGGUAAAUGCUGAAGGCUUAGCCUACAGGGACUUUUCUCCACAUUUGCUGGCACCCUCUGAACAGGUGAUCAGGGUGACGCCAGAACUCACUGGAGAUAGAUCAUUAUGUAUAGUGUCUUUAAUCUCUGUCAUAACCUCAUGUUUCACCAGCUCAUUUGGGAAGAGAGACCAAGAAAUAAGAAAGGAAAGGAUGGCCGGGUGGUGGUGCACACCUUUAAUCCCAGCACUUGGGAGGCAGAGACAGGUGGAUUUCUGAGUUGGAGGCCAGCCUGGUCUACAGAGUUCCAGGACAGCCAGAGCUAUAGAGAAACCUUGUUUUGAAAAACAAAGCAAAACAAAAACAAAAACAACAAAGAAAAGAAAGGAAAGGAUAAGAAGGUUGUAUAAUAAAAUGUUCAGAACCCAGCUUAGGAAGAAAAGCCAUGUAGGGUAAUAGUUCUUAAGAUAAUUCUAGAAGAAUAUAAGCCAAAGACACAGCUGGAGCCAGAAAUCUAGUGACAUAAUCUAUCUUUAUUGCCAUAAUUGUAGAACUUUGUCUACAUACCAUAUAGGAGAACCAGGGCAACAACAUGACACAGAAGGCACAAGAAGUUGAAAAGGUUAAGGUUAGAAUGGGAUUACAUCCUUGAGACUGGAGUUUCUCAGAUAGGGAUGGAUCAACAGAACAUGGGAAGAAAGUGAGGGGGACAGAGUGUAAGACCCAGAUGGCUUCUGAUCUCAAGUACAGAGAUCACCUGACCCACUUCUCAGAAUGCAGGAACAGGUCCCAGCUCCUGCCUUGGGCUCCUUCUCUACUCAGGCUACAACAUCCUUCAAGGCAGCCCCCAACUCUGGGAAGGAAUACUGGUAGCCACUGGCCAGUGUCCGCCGGGGGACCACUUUCUGGCCUUCCAACAGCAUGAUGGCACGCUCUCGUCCAAAGACUGCUUGAACUACAGUGCUGGGGACAGGUAUGAAGGCCGGGCGGCCCAGGGCAGCACCCAAGGCCCUGGCAAACUCAGCAUUGGUAGUUGUAGAUGCUGGAGCCACACCAUUCAGGACUCCUUGGACGUGGUUUGCUUCAAGGGCAUGGCUCAGAAUUCCUGCCAGGUCACCAAUGUGUAUCCAGGGGAAGAACUGGUGGCCUGAACCAAUGGGCCCUCCUAGGCCCAGGCGGAAGGGCAGAAGCAUGUGGCUGAUUGCACCACCCCCACGGCCUAGCACAACCCCUAAAGCAGACAGAGAGGUGGUACAGGAAGGUUGCUUAGCCUUGAAAAUCUGCACUACUCUAUUUUCUCUUCUCCCUUCUUCGAGGCCUUCCCAUAUACACGUGGAGUGGACAGAGUUGAGGGCUGUGGGUCUUUUGGGGACCUUCCCUCUGUAUGCUAGCUAAAGUGAUGGUGUCCCCUCACUGCAAGCUCAGCCCUCCUCAGCCCAGAAAUCUGCCACUCUGCCUGGUUCCCAGGCCCUUUGUCCUCACCUGAACGUACCACGACCUGGCGUGUAGACUCUCCAGGAAGCUUGGCUGCUGCUUCCCAUUUGGUUACCAGGUUGGAGAAAAAGUCAAAAUCCCCUCCUGGGCUGUCUUCAUCAUACUCCUCAGUCAGGCUUGGCUGGUAGUAAGCUGUCAUGGAAGAGCAACCAUUUGCUCCAGCGGUCCCUGGCCUGCCGGGCCCUUUGUAGGGAAAGGCUCCUUAGCCUCGGUCUCCUUGGCCUUUGGGUUUCCACAGAAGAACCUUAACUGUUUCCCCCUUGAGCUUCUCCGUGUGUUCAUGCCUGGAAGUCUAGCUUUUGGCUGUCAGACUGUGUCCAGAGGCCGCUAGCUUGUAGUGGGUAGAGACAGAAACAUAGGUGCUAAGCUGCUUGAACACCAUUUUUUGACAUCUGUGACUUUUUGCCAAGUUACUUCUCUGUAUGAAAAAUCUGCCUCUUCAGUAUGGGAGUAACUGUACCUACCUCAUAAAGUUGUUUCAAGGAUUAAAUAAUAUGUAUAAAAUAGUA